rnacentral:rRNA from 1 species
AAAAACAUCGCCUCCCGCAAAAACCAAUGUAUAGGAGGUCUUGCCUGCCCAGUGAACUUAUUUUAAACGGCCGCGGUAUCUUGACCGUGCAAAGGUAGCGCAAUCACUUGUCUUUUAAAUGAAGACCAGUAUGAAUGGUGGAACGAGGGCUUAACUGUCUCCCUCCUUAAGUCAGUGAAAUUGAUCUGCCCGUGCAGAAGCGGACAUAAAAAUACAAGACGAGAAGACCCUUUGGAGCUUAAGACACCAAAACCAACUAUGUCAAAAAUCUGCUACAAAACAGAUUAAACCUAAUAGCAGCUGGUUUCUGUCUUCGGUUGGGGCGACCACGGAGGAAAAUAAAGCCUCCACGUGGAAAGGGGAAACCCCCUAAAACCUAGAGAGACAUCUCCAAGACACAGAACAUCUGACCACAAUAGAUCCGGCUACACAGCCGAUCAACGGACCAAGUUACCCUAGGGAUAACAGCGCAAUCCCCUCCCAGAGUCCCUAUCGACAAGGGGGUUUACGACCUCGAUGUUGGAUCAGGACAUCCUAAUGGUGCAGCCGCUAUUAAGGGUUCGUUUGUUCAACGAUUAAAGUCCUACGUGAUCUGAG